CUGGGAAUUUUGCGCAAUGGACGAAAGUCUGACGCAGCGACACCGCGUGUGGGAUGAAGUAUUUCGGUAUGUAAACCACUGUGGCGAGGGAUGACUAAAGACAGUACCUCGCUAGAAAGCAUCUGCUAACUACGUGCCAGAAGCCUCGGCAAUGCGUGGGAUGCGAGCGUUAUCCGGAUUUACUGGGCGUAAAGGGUUUCGCAGGCGGAUUGUUAAGUCUAGUCUUAAAUACUGGGGCUCAACCCCAGAUACAGGACCGGAUACUGGCAAUCUUGAGGGUAUCAGGGGGGACUGGAACACUCGGUGGAGGGGUGAAAUCCGUUGAGAUCGAGUGGAACGCCAAUGGCGAAAGCAGGUCCCUGGGGUAUUUCUGACGCUCAGGUACGAAAGCUAGGGGAGCAAACGGG
rnacentral:rRNA from 1 species